UACGAAGGGGGCUAGCGUUGCUCGGAAUCACUGGGCGUAAAGGGUGCGUAGGCGGCUUUUUAAGUCAGUGGUGAAAGACAACAGCUCAACUGUUGCAGUGCCAUUGAUACUGAAGAGCUUGAGUACAGAUGAGGUAGGCGGAAUUUAUGGUGUAGCGGUGAAAUGCAUAGAUACCAUAAAGAACACCUAUUGCGAAGGCAGCUUACUAAGCUGUAACUGACGCUGAGGCACGGAAG
rnacentral:rRNA from 1 species